UCCCAGACUCCUACGGGAGGCAGCAGUGGGGAAUAUUGCACAAUGGGGGGAACCCUGAUGCAGCGACGCCGCGCGGGUGAAGAAGUAUUUCGGUAUGUAAAGCCCUAUCGGCAGGGAAGAAAUUGGACGGUACCUGACUAAGAAGCCCCGACUAACUACGUGCCAGCAGCCGCGGGAAUACGUAGGGGGCAAGCGUUAUCCGGAUUCACUGGGUGUAAAGGGAGCGUAGACGGCCAUGCAAGCCUGGAGUGAAAGCCCGGGGCCCAACCCCGGGACUGCUCUGGGAACUGUGCGGCUGGAGUGCGGGAGGGGCAGGCGGAAUUCCUGGUGUAGCGGUGAAAUGCGUAGAUAUCAGGAGGAACACCGGCGGCGAAGGCGGCCUGCUGGACCGCGACUGUCGUUGAGGCUCGAAAGCGUGGGGAGCAAACAGGAUUAGAUACCCUAGUAG
rnacentral:rRNA from 1 species